rnacentral:rRNA from 1 species
UACAGAGGGGGCAAGCGUUGUUCGGAAUUACUGGGCGUAAAGGGCUCGUAGGCGGCCAACUAAGUCGGACGUGAAAUCCCUCGGCUUAACCGGGGAACUGCGUCCGAUACUGGAUGGCUUGAGUGUGGGAGAGGGAUGCGGAAUUCCAGGUGUAGCGGUGAAAUGCGUAGAUAUCUGGAGGAACACCGGUGGCGAAGGCGGCAUCCUGGACCACGACUGACGCUGAGUGAGCGAAAGCCAGGGGAGCAAACGGG